GAUGAACGCUGGCGGCGUGCCUAAUACAUGCAAGUCGAGCGAACGGACGAGAAGCUUGCUUCUCUGAUGUUAGCGGCGGACGGGUGAGUAACACGUGGAUAACCUACCUAUAAGACUGGGAUAACUUCGGGAAACCGGAGCUAAUACCGGAUAAUAUUUUGAACCGCAUGGUUCAAAAGUGAAAGACGGUCUUGCUGUCACUUAUAGAUGGAUCCGCGCUGCAUUAGCUAGUUGGUAAGGUAACGGCUUACCAAGGCAACGAUGCAUAGCCGACCUGAGAGGGUGAUCGGCCACACUGGAACUGAGACACGGUCCAGACUCCUACGGGAGGCAGCAGUAGGGAAUCUUCCGCAAAGGGCGAAAGCCUGACGGAGCAACGCCGCGUGAGUGAUGAAGGUCUUCGGAUCGUAAAACUCUGUUAUUAGGGAAGAACAUAUGUGUAAGUAACUGUGCACAUCUCGACGGUACCUAAUCAGAAAGCCACGGCUAACUACGUG
rnacentral:rRNA from 1 species